UACGGAGGAUGCGAGCGUUAUCCGGAUUUAUUGGGUUUAAAAGGUGCGUAGGCGGGCUUUUAAGUCAGCGGUAAAAAUUCGGGGCUCAACCCCGUCCGGCCGUUGAAACUGGGGGCCUUGAGUGGGCGAGAAGAAGGCGGAAUGUGUGGUGUAGCGGUGAAAUGCUUAGAUAUCACACAGAACACCGAUUGCGAAGGCAGCUUUCCAAGCUAUUACUGACGCUGAGGCACGAAAGCGUGGGGAGCGAACAGG
rnacentral:rRNA from 1 species